CAGAAUGUUCGGAACCAAAAGGGUUUUAAAUUUUGGAUUUUUUUGGAUUUGGGAUGAUCAACCUGUAUUACUUAUUUUAUCUUGCCUCAUUAUGAGGAGGACUGAGAGGCAGAAUGUUUAGUUUCAUUCCCCACUGUAGUCUGUAGUUUAAUUGCCCUUGUCAAUUAUGGACAAAUAUGGACACAUAUGUUUACUAGCCAAUAGUGGACAUCUUUGUGGCAUUUAUGACAUCUAGGUAUUCCUUCACAUUUGUUGAAGAAUUUGCAUCUGUUUCAAAGUUGUCAUCUUUAGUCAUCAUUCUGAGGGUCUUUUCAGCACCCACAUACAACUCCUCAGCAUGAAACUUUGAUGAGAUAUUUUUAGUGACCUUUUUCUUCACCCCACCACCUAAUCCUACAGUCAUAGCCUAAAGUAAGUUACUCAGAAUUGUUAUAUGCAAAAAAAUCUUAAAUUCAAAAAUCCGACUCCCUGGCUUCAACCUGUUUUCCUUCUGAAGCUUUUCACACAUUAGGAUUUGCUGGAUCCCUCUUUUAAUCCCUGCUUAUUUAUCCAGGCUCCUGUCCCUACAUAGCAAUCACUCUGUUUCCCGUCCAGACACUGUGCUGUUGCCCCUUACUUCUGUUAUAUUUGCCCUGGACUGCCUGGCCAUUCUGCCAGUCUGCUUCAGGCGUUGUGCCUGAGAUGCUGGAUUCAUCUAGACUUUGGCUUUCCCCAUUCCUGCUGCUUGGCUACUAAACAUUGUCAAAAAAACAAAAAUUGCAUAACUCCAUUCAGCUUUUCAUUAUCCUCAGCCGUCCUUAUACUUGUCCCUAUUUCAACUCCUUUAUACAUUUCUUCCAACAAAUGUCUCCUAUCAUUAACUUUCUAUUCAGGCCCUAACUUGUACUUAGCAGAUGCUUUCUGCUUCACAGAAAAUAGAUGCCAUCAGGUAUGAACAGCUCCUCUUUCUACUUUCAAACAUUAGUAAUCUUUUUUUUUUUUCUUUUGUUAAGGCAGAAAAGACCACUGCUUUAUAAGGCUAACCAUGACCACUCCCGUUUCAUCCUUUCCUGCCUUCUUAAGAUCUUGCACUGCCAAAUUCCUCACUCCUUCACCUUCAGGCUCUUUUGUCCUCUCCCUAAAAACAGAAACUAAAACACCCUUCUGACCUUUUAAUGUUACUGUCCUCUUUCUGUUCUUUCUGUCACCAUCAGACUUCUCAGCUUACCAUCUCCAUUUUUCACCUUUAACCCAUUCUGAACUCAUUGAAUCAUGCUUCUGCCACCACCAUACUACUGAAACAGGUCAUCGGUGACCCACCCCCAGAUGAGACCACUUCAUCAAGUGGUCUCAUCUUCAUUCCUCUUCCCACUUCACUUCAGUAACAUUUUAUAUAUUCACCUCUCACCUUGCCACAUUCUACUCCCUUGGUUACUGUACAGCAGUGCUGUUCAGUGUCUUCCCUUCCAUUCUCACCUCCUUCGCUCUUCCUGUCUUCUUUUUAAAUAUUAGUGUUCCCUAGGGUUCUGACCUCAGUCUUUACCCUUUCUUACGUUUCUCCAGGGAUAGUGAGCUUGUAGCCCGAAGACUGCAUUCUCUACCUACAGAAUUAUUAUGGGCAUUGUUUUUAUUUAUUUAUAUAUUUUAAAUAGAUUUAAAUGCCUUAAACGGGAUGUAUACGCCUUUCUAUUAAGGGCCCCUCUUUUCUUAACCAGAUAGCGCCACAUAGUUGUUACCUGGUGGCCACUGAAGUUACCUGAUUUGUGACUCUUGCCCUAUUUUCAACCUAAAUGGUUUGAUCCCUUAUGAUUAUCACCCUUGCUUAAGUAUUACCAUGACUUAUGUUGUCUCUGUGGAUCUGCUGCCAAAGUGUAAAACAUUAUUCCCAUAUCUAAUUAGCUAACUGCUAAACUUUAAAUUUAUACUCCUAAUUGUUUAUCAGAAAUGUGUAUCUAAAUUAGCAUGACCAAAACUAAAUUCCCCCAAAAGAACUGCUCUUUUUCUUCUCAACUGGGAAUAUUUUCCCCAUAACUCUACUCGACAUUCUAACCAAAAACUUUUUGUUUUCUUCGCCUUUCCUUUCUCCGUUCUCCUCUCUACUCCCAAGCAAUUUCCCCUUCAGUCUUCUCUGUCUUAAAAAAUCAUCCACUCACUCACAUGUUUGCUGAAGCCAAAAUUUUAGCAGUUAUCUUUAUCAUUUAGGUUCCAGUCAGGAGACAGUUAUUUGAACAGAGAGAAUUUUUUAGAAAGAAUUGUGAACUAGGUAAAAAGUAGCUAAAUAGAUAACUGAAAAAGUAAAAAGAAAACGAAGAUAUCAUGGAGUUAAAAACUGGAAGAAGCAACAACCACCUGUAGGGCUGGGAGAACAGGAAGAAAAGAUUGGAACAAAUAAGACUUAGAAACUUAAUGAAGAGGGCUUGUGGAACUGAGCUCCCUGGUGCUGGAGUCUCUUGGUAGAGGCAGAGGUGGGGUACGUCUGUGAUAAAGCUGGUUCUCCAAAGGCUGAGAAAAGUGCCAACUGUAUUUAGUUGCUCUUAAGGAAAGAAGUGCUGCUGCAGGGAUGAGAAGCCUUGCAGGGGUGACAGUCACAGGAACACAAGCAAGCCCACAGGAAGCAGUUAGGGAGGAAGCAGCCAUGGUGUCUUCCAUCCAGGGCCAGCAGGCAAAGCUGAUGCGUAGUGUGCAGAGUCCUUGGUGCAGCAUCCCAAAGCACAGUAUAGAAGGGUGGGGUUAGAGAUGACAAAAAAAAAAUGGAUGACACACCGUCCUUGAUUUACCCUCCCUUUGCAGAUCCAGUCCACCACUAAGUGUUGUCAGCUCUGCCUCUAGAAUGAAUCUCAAGUUUGUCUACUCUCUGUGCACCUACGUCUUACAUACAGUUGAGCUCCCUUCCACUGGUCUACUGCAGCAGCUUCCUAAGUAGUCUUUGAUUCCGUUCUUACACUUUUUGUUCAUUCUCCACAGAGCAACCAGUGAUAUUUUCUAAAUACACAUCAAAUCAUGUUACUUCCCUACCUAAACUACCCAGUAGCUACUGUGUACUUAGAAUAAAACCCAGCGUUCUUAACUGGGGCCCAUAGGGUAAUAUGUGAUCUGCCCCCAUCUGUCUACCUGAUUUCCUACUCUUCCUCUCUUCUUAAGCCCCAGCAUACUGGGCUUAUCAUUAUGAGCACUUACCACUCUCUAAUGGCAUAUUUAUUGGUUUACUCUUUGUAUUGUCUUGUUUCUUUGCUUGAAUUAUAGACACAUUUGCAUAGCAUUUUUGUCUUGUUCAUCACUUUAUCUUCAGUGCCUAGGGAAAUGCUUGGCACACAAUUAAAAAGGUGUUCAACAUUUAUCUAUUGAUGAAUGGGUAAAUCCAGCACUGUCUCCCUCUUCCCUGCCACCUCCAUAUCCCAGUAGUCACUAGGACCUGUAGGUUCAUGUAUGUCUCUUUACUCUUUUUGAUUUAUCCUGAAUGUCAUGUCUCAUUUUAUAUUCUGUAUUAUUUGUUUUCUGGUCUGUUACUGCCAUCUUUUAACUGGUUUUCCUUCAGUGUUUUGUCUAUUCCAGUCUGUAUUUUGCACUGUCACCAAAAGAUGAUUUAUGAAGCAUAGGUCUUUAAAAAUUACAUGAUGGGCUCGGUGCGGUGGCUCACGCCUGUAAUCCCAGCACUUUGGGAGGCCGAGGCGGGCGGAUCACCUGAGGUCAGGAAUUCAAGACCAGCCUGGCCAACGUGGUGAAACCCCGUCUCUACUAAAAAUAUAAAAAUUAGCCAGGUGUGGCGGUGUAUGCCUGUAAUCCCAGCUACUCGAAAGGCUAAGGCGGGAGAAUGGCGUGAACCCGGGAGGUGGAGCUUGCAGUGAGCCAAGAUCGUGUCACUGCACUCCAACCUGG
rnacentral:lncRNA from 10 species